GUACUUACUGGGCAGGGCAAUCCCAGGAUCAGGAAGGUGGCUUUCCCAGGGCGAGGCUCAGCCGUUGCCCCCGCCCCCCCCCCCCCCCCCCCCCGAUGUGCUGACCUCUGCGAGUUCCCCAAGUGCAGGAAACACUGCAUAAUUGGUGGUGGGGGGGGGACUCUCUCCUA
rnacentral:snRNA from 1 species